rnacentral:snoRNA from 1 species
CCUGCCCUUGAGUCAUUGACGAUGUGCCUGCAGUGUCACAUGUGCAGUACUAGGUGGCAAGAGGAAAGAGGUGUUGGCUACAAUCACUUGUCUGACCUAUGAACAUAACAUU